GAUUAAUUUAAUUAGUCGCCAAGGUUUGACUUAGUUUCUUUAUUAGGUUUCAGGCCAACAGUUGGGUCGGAAUUCCGAUAAAGCAGAUAGCUAUCAGGUUAAAGGUACCAUUCUUCUCAUCAAGGGUGAACGAUUGGUAUACAAAUCUUGUCCCGGCCCAGAUUGUCAGAAGAAAGUUAUUGAUAACAGCAACGGCACUUAUACGUGCCAAAGUUGCAACAAAAGUUUCAACAGUUUUAAGUUUAGAAUCUUAUGCAAUAUGAAUGUUUGCGAUUGGAGCUCCAACCAGUGGAUGACAGUAUUCAACGAUGAAGCUGAGAAAAUCUUGGGGCUAACCGCACUUGAAGUUGGGCAACAGGCAGAAACUGAUCCCGACGGAUUAAAUGACACGUUAGAAAAAUGCAUGUUUAAGGAAUGCAUUUUACGAUGCAGAGUGAAAACGGAAACUUACAAUGAUGAACAGCGUGUUAAGACCGUAGCGUUCAGAGCAGACCCAAUAAAUCAUUCGGAAUAUAACGCUCACCUAGUCAAUAAUAUCAAGAAACUGGCUAGGUUGUCUUAAAUUAGUCAUCCUCAUUGCAUUAGUUUGUAGACAAGUUAACGGUAUUAGUUAAUCUCGAAAUGUAUUUCUGUUCACUACCGGUUGAAUGGUUAUUAGUUUACUGUUUUGUUCACAAAAUGAGAAUUAUCCGUUGUUUAAUUGUAUAGGAACUAUAAUAAGUUGCCAGAUAUUUCUGUAAACAGUUAGACAAACAUGAAGAAAUUAUAUGCCGAUAUGAUAUCCGCUAAUGUUGUUAAUAAAAAUAUUUCGUUUUCA